AAAGCGAUUCAGCGGGUUACGAUUGACGGAGCGAAGCGACGUCAAAGCGUAUACAAAGUCGAGUCGGUUUAAGGAUACGUUCGUUGGGUAGGGGAGCGUUCUGUAAGCCUGUGAAGGUGGCCUGUGAGGGUUGCUGGAGGUAUCAGAAGUGCGAAUGCUGACAUAAGUAACGAUAAAGCGGGUGAAAAGCCCGCUCGCCGGAAGACCAAGGGUUCCUGUCCAACGUUAAUCGGGGCAGGGUGAGUCGACCCCUAAGGCGAGGCCGAAAGGCGUAGUCGAUGGGAAACGGGUUAAUAUUCCCGUACUUGGUGUUACUGCGAAGGGGGGACGGAGAAGGCUAUGUUGGCCGGGCGACGGUUGUCCCGGUUUAAGCGUGUAGGUGUGUGUUCCAGGUAAAUCCGGUUCACUUUAACACUGAGGCGUGACGACGAGGCACUACGGUGCUGAAGCAACAAAUGCCCUGCUUCCAGGAAAAGCCUCUAAGCAUCAGGUAACAUCAAAUCGUACCCCAAACCGACACAGGUGGUCAGGUAGAGAAUACCAAGGCGCUUGAGAGAACUCGGGUGAAGGAACUAGGCAAAAUGGUGCCGUAACU
rnacentral:rRNA from 1 species